rnacentral:rRNA from 1 species
UACAGAGGGGGCAAGCGUUAUUCGGAAUUAUUGGGCGUAAAGGGCGCGUAGGCGGCUUGGCAAGUGGAAGGUGAAAUCCCUCGGCUUAACCGAGGAACUGCCCUCCAAACUGCUUCGCUUGAGACCAGGAGAGGUGAGUGGAAUUCCCAGUGUAACGGUGAAAUGCGUAGAUAUUGGGAGGAACACCAGUGGCGAAGGCGGCUCACUGGACUGGUACUGACGCUGAGGCGCGAAAGCGUGGGGAGCAAACGGG